UACAGGGGGGGCAAGCGUUGUUCGGAAUUACUGGGCGUAAAGGGCUCGUAGGUGGCCAACUAAGUCAGACGUGAAAUCCCUCAGCUUAACUGGGGAACUGCGUCUGAUACUGGAUGGCUUGAGUUCGGGAGAGGGAUGCGGAAUUCCAGGUGUAGCGGUGAAAUGCGUAGAUAUCUGGAGGAACACCGGUGGCGAAGGCGGCAUCCUGGACCGAUACUGACGCUGAGGAGCGAAAGCCAGGGGAGCAAACGGG
rnacentral:rRNA from 1 species